AAAUUGUUUGCCUGGUGUGCGCCACAGUUGACUGGAGCUCAAUGGAAUGUUGAGUGCCCAAUUCGCGAAUUUGCUUGGAUCGCGAUGAUGGUCAUGUCCUGUGGCAUCGCUAGUGGUGUGGAUCAUCCGAGGUUGGACUCGAUCAGACAACUAGUGGUGGUUGUACCAUUGUACCUUACUGAGGCAUCGGUGUUGUACCAUAUAUCUUACGGGACACGCAAACCUUACCGUAAGAGGUUUAUGGGUACGGAUUGUACUAUAUUUAAUGUUAAAACGGCAAUAUGUUGUCCUUGGAAUUAUGCCUUAACUACUUUCUAAAUGUACUAUUUUUCCUUACGGGCAUAAUUAGCGAGAUAACAAAUUAUUCAAACCUCAUAAUGUUUCUAAAAUGUCCGCCUUUAUACUUCCAACUAAACUAGGCUCAUUGCACGUGCUAAGUUUCGUUAACGAUUUAUUUACCAAGCCGUAAACUUAUGUAGUUACUUUUUCACAUGUAAAACAUUUUUGUUUUACAGAUUAGUAGGUUAGCUUCAGGGGUGCAGUUUAGAGCUAUUCGCAACGCUUGAGAUGCUAGGCGAAGGCUUGUAGUGUACUUCAUCUAUUUUGUAUUUUGGAGGCUCUAGUUUGUAUCAAUGAUAGAAAAAUAUACUAAUGUAUAUAGUCUUUCAGUUCAGAUUAAUAGUUCACUUUCCACUGAUUUUAUACUAAUAUUUGUUGUUACAGGUAGCACUUUGAGUUAAUUACCAAUUAAUCAAAUUGGGGGUUCUACAAGUAACAUUUCGAGUUAAUUACUGUUAAAUCCUAAUGGAGGGGUGAUAUUGCAAAAAAUUUGAAGUUUGAUAGACUAAAUUGAGAGUUUUUGAGCUUUGGAGGGGAGAUUGCAAAAGUGAUGAAAGUUCAGGGUUAAGUGAAGUUCCUAUUUGUUGUAUGUUAAUGAUUCUUUUUCCUGAAUGGGUAUCUGUUCUAUCUGUUUGUGUUUCUUUUUUCCCCUUCUUGAUGACAUGAUGCAAAAAUAUGUUGGUUCUGGAAAUGGGGGAGAUAUUUAUGCUGAGGGGUUUGAAGUGUCAGCUUAUGUCAUGUACUUCAAGAUUGGUAUUUGUAUAUGGACACAAACAUUGCAGCUAUCAUCUUUGUUUACAACAGACUUUGCUAUGUACACACAUGAUAUGCGAUUGGUAGAGAGUUGAUGUAGGCGGACAGCCUGGCUUUUAGAACAUGAUGGGGUGAUCACUGUGCUUGAAGGAUACUUACGUUAUACAAUCUCAGGAAGUGGAAUGAAAUAUAGUUGAUUGGUGUUGUAUUUGUAAGGCUAGUUAUUAAGUAGUAGCCACCUUGUUCUUCUUUGCUUGAUCAACUGGGAACAUUUGUCUCUCGUCUUUUCGUCAUUUUGGAUUACAUCAGUUAACCCUAUGAAAGUUGAGGAGACACUGGCAUAUUGGAAACGGCAUUCUGGUAACCAAGAGUAGAGCACGCUUUAGAAUUCUGAUCUGUUGUGCCUAAUGUGGUGAUCGUAGAGAGAAAGGAAUGCUAAGACCUUUGGAGGGCACCAAGCUCCCCUAAUUAAGUUGAGGCUUCUGUCACUUAGAUCACUUUAUGAGUGGGUGGUGGUGGCAACUUUUUUUCUGUCUCCUCUAUAAAUGGGUUUUCGGAGACCUAUUUGUCUACCAUCUGUGUACUAAAUUGUGUCCCUUUCUGCAGUUUUUUAGUAAAUUCCCUCAAGAGAAAGAUUCUGCAUUUUAUCUGUUAGCUAAUCAGGAGCCAAAUUUCAGUAAGAUGCAGUUUUUAUGAUGCCAAUCUGCAUCAUUUAAGAAAUUCCUUAGUCAAGGUAUUAUUCUAGAUUGAUUAGACUUCUAAUAGAUCUUCUAAUGUUCUUACCAUGAAGCACCCAAUCAACUAAUUUGCAUAUUGGUGCCACCUAUUAGUCACACAGGAUUUGUUAUGUAAACCACUUCAUUUGACAGGACCUUAACAUCUCUUCUCUGCAUUGUUAAUAUGCCAACUCUGUUCUCUUGGAAAAUGUAACUUUUAAGUCAGAAAACUUUUAAAGAUUAAAAUACUCCAUGAAGGGAGCCUUGUUCUUAGUUGGGUAAAAUACUCCACUAACUUUUGCAUAGCUCCAUCAAUUACGGGGAUACGAAAAAUCUCUCUAGGCGUAGAAAAGGCAAGGGAAAGGCAAGGCACAUAUGUUAAGGCUUGUUGUGCCUUGGCAUGUAGUGGGUAGUCAAUAUGUGUUUUGUUUAUUGUUCAGAGUAUCAACCUAUCUUAGCCCCCAACCAAUUUCUUACAUAACCGAUUCUUUCCCUGAAUAGGUUGCUAGUGUUCGGUCCUGAUCCAAGAUGAGGAACCAAACCAAGUCUUGAAAGUCUUCCUCAAGUGAGUACUGGUCCACCUAUCCAGUAUGUGAGGAAGUUUCUCCCAUGGAGCUAGCUUUUGUAUGUUACUAAGCCGGAUCGCCAAUACUAGGUUCUUUUUCCACGCUAUGUGACUAGCCGACGAUGAUGGGACUAGUAGACGCAGCAGACUGAACUUGUCUCAUGAAAUGGUUCUUCUCGACAAUCCAUUUAUUGUAGGUUAGAUUCAGACUGAGCAGACUCUAGCUCUUGCGUCUGCAUGAUCUGACUUCUAUGACUUGUAGUAUAAAAUAAAUAUAAAAAUACAUUUAUUUUGCUUCCCCUUACCUCCCGCCUGUGGGUCUCUCUAGUAGUUAGAUCGAGUAUUCGAGUCUGUGAAGACCUAAAGGCAUAGGCUGAGGCUACGGACACAGAGACAAAGGCAGCAUCCUCACUAGCACCAUCAUUUUGCAUCAAAAAGCCAGCACAUUAAGCUAAUGGUGGUAGCAUAGCUUGUUCCAGCACAGGUAGGUUAGGUAAAGAGCGCCCUCAGGCAAUUAGAGUAGGUAACCACCGCCUCUUAUUAGGUAGGUACCUGCAAAGGCAAAAGUAAAGGGUUCCAAUCCUGGUUGAACAAAAAGAUGCCAAUCCUUGAGAACAAGAAGACAGGAACACCUGACUAAGAGGGGGAAGGGACAACAAAGAGGGUGAGCCUCAUUCCCAGAAUUUGAUGUGAACUAGCUCAUGAGAACGCUUGGUUCUGGGUUUUCACCGAUUCUUUCCAAUGUUCUUAGUUGGGUCCUUUUGUAGUUUGUUUUUGAUUUUUUCGUUUUUUGGGGCUUUGGUGUUAUGGGUUUUUGCGGGUUAGCUUUGGUUGUUCUUGUGUAUACUUCUUGUGUACUUAGGGGCAUCUUAUGCUUUCUUUAAUAAAGUCUUCUUACUUAUCAAAAAAAGAAAAAGAAAAAGGGAGCCAUAUAUUUUAGUGGCGCAUAGGUUCAUCUGUUCUAAUGUCAUAUGCUGUGUAUUAUACCAUUCGGGAAAAAAAAGAUGCUGUCUUUAGAAAGUUGUACUUGAUGGCAGCAAUUAAUGAAGUGAGAUUUUAUUGAUGCUUGUAAUAUAAAUUCAUAGGGAUGAUUUUAUUAAAGAAGGGUCAAAUUUGCAUAUUUAUAAUUAUCCAGGCCUUAAUAUUUUAAGUAACAGUCCAACUAAUUGGGGUUGACUACAUGGAUCCUUUUUCUCCCUUCAGCUUUAUGAUCUAGAGUCAUGUCCUAAUUUACCUCUCUUGCAACCAUGUCUUGCCCCCCCGAACCCCACGCUAAAGUUCAUGACCUUGUUGGUCAACACUCAAGAUGUAUCAUUUGAUAGAAUUUGUAUGUGCUGUUUUUGGACUUGCCUGAUACAUCGCAGAAAAUUGAUGUAUGAGAGAAUGCUUUGGAUGCUGUUGCAAAAUGAUUUGUGAAGCCAACGAAGAACAGUGCAAGGAUUUGAGGUUUUAAUCAAAAAAUAAUUGGCAUAAGUGAAGUUUCUAAUCUGCUUAAAUAACUAGGCAGAAAAUGGACUAUGUGAAAUGCUAAAUGAAUUCUGAACAUUAGGGAGAAGCAGUUGCUGCAGCUAUGUAGCUGUUGAAUUGAAGCUCGACAAACGAGUGAAAGAAAUUUAGAGCUUGGAAUGAAAAGAAUGAAAAAAGAGGGGAAAAAAAAGGGAAAAAGGAAGAAGCCAAAAAAACUAGAGGAUGGAUAGAAGAGGCAAGUCUUUCCUUACUAUCAUUUAUUUCUCUGAUUGUUUUGCUGAUGCGUGUUUUCCCAGAACCCAGGUUCUCAGUGUACAUUGUCAUUAUUGGUAAAACAUCCAACAUUAAUUGAAGUUUCAAUCAAUAUUUAAUCGAUGGAUCAUGAUUUAUGAGCUUAGAAAACCUUAACUAUUUUGGCUUACUUGCUAUGCCUGUGAUUGCACUUUGAAUUCUUUUCUGCAAUUCUAAUGUUAAAAAUAUUAUGUACAUGCAUUUGAUUAUCUGAAUCACCCCCACGAUCAAUAGACAUGUUGCCGAAUCAUCAGUUUUUGAAAUCUUAACUGAUCUUCUUUGAAUGAAAUUCUACAUAUAAGAUCAUCAGUACAACAUAGAUAAACAUUCUUGCUUGCAAAUAUUGAAAUUUUGACACUUUCUCCAGCAUCUGUUUCCUGAGUCAUGAGAGUUAAGAAGUUUCAAACUGUAUCAGCCCUGCACCCUUGAUUUAUCAUUUCAUUCUCUCAAUUCUCCGGAUGCAAUACUUCAGCUCCUGUUGAAUGUUCACCCUAGAAGGUGACAAUACGAUGUCUUUCCAAACUGACCCAGCUUUGGAAGCUGGGUUAGGGUGCUUGUAGAGUUCAUAUAUGGACUUUGCAUUUUCAUUCAACCUACCUAACCUUUUUAAACAAUCAAUUUCAUCUGGAUCAACCAGCAAUGUCUUGUCUCUGUCUUUCCAUCCUAUCAACUUCACAGCAAUUAUGACGUCAGUAUGAUAUGCUGAAUAUAACAAAUUGCUAUAGUAACUUUCUGUUGACAGGCAUAGUCCUGAAUGUCAUGGCCUCCAUACAAAGACCAAAUCCCAUAUAAGAAAGUAUAAGAUUGCAUAAACAUGUAACUCAGCUGAGCUUUUACCAAGUAAAACAACCCUAAAUUAUUGAGCCUUGGUUGGUUAAAUGAAAUUCUGCAGGUUCUUUAUAUAGGCGUGUGUUUAAAUCCAAGUUCUUCUUGUUAAACUCUGAAGUAAGCUUCUUAUUGCUACAAUAUAAAAGAGGAGAUAUAAUGGGUGUACCUUAGGUUGGCCUUCCAAAGCAUUGGUGCAAUAUAGCCUGGCAUUGUCAACCAGUUGACAGUAAGCUAGAAAUGCAUUUGCAAAUUGCUUGCUGGAUUUUAAUUGUGAAUUCACUCUUACAGCUCUUCUACACAUGAUAGCUCUCCUGUUUACAUGCAGAAAACCCACUUUGAUGCAUCAGAUACCUCAAGAGAAAACCAACAUUGUAUGAAAAAAUUACAAUUAGAUAAUGUAAGACCACCAAAACAAAUGUAAUAAUCUGUAAUAUACCGUAUGCCUCUUAUAACAGCUAGAUAAGCAUCACAUACAACUCCAACAAGCUCUAUCCUGUAUGGUUUUCUCUUUUUGCCUCCAACUUGCUCUGGUUCUUCGUUUUCAAUUCGUUCCCAGUAGAUUUCGUUUACAGUUCCAUCUCCAUUCACCCUGUAACCAGCACCCAUACGAUAACGGCGGCGGUGAACAUUUCUGGCCAUUGUUAUUGUCUGCACAACAAAUGGUUGCCAAGAAAGGGUGCCAUCCAUGAUCACAUCCCGCCCUUCAUUAAGUGCUGUCACCAGGAGGGAUGAUGCUGCAUCGGUAGAUGAUUGGUGCACCUGUUUGAAACAAUAUUUGUUGGGUCAUAUUAUGAAACUCAUGCUAGGAUAUACUAUGAUAAUGCAUAUUGAUGUUAUGAGAAGCAUUUGAAUCAUUAUGAAAUUGUUAAUGCAUCUGUUAUAGGUAUUUUGUUUGUUUGGUUUUACAUCUGAAGUGGCACUAGAAUGGUUAAGAGCGAGGAAAAGGCACAAAGUAAGGAAGCUGACAAUGCUGGUUCUUGGCUUAGUUGGGAAAAGGGUGGGAUGAGCUCUGGGUAGAUCUUAUAUUCAAGACUUGACAAUCAAAAGUGAAAGAAUCUGACUGGUGAUGUAUGUGGUGCGGAAGGAAGAUCAAAGAAGAACCUUUAAGUUCUAUAUAUAGAAUCACCCAUUUAAAGAUACGCGCAGUGUUUUGGGUUAUUGGUCAAAGAGUGAUGGAAGAGUAACCGACAGUGGAAUUGAAGAGGCAACUUCUUAUCAUGGGCAGCAAAGUACCUUGACCAGAUUCUCUGUCAGAAAACAUGGAGUACUUCUGCAUAUAUAAGAUUGGGGAAGAGGGUGGGCACAGAGAGAGAGAGAGAGAGAGUCAGUCUUAUAUCUCACCAGUUCAGCAGUUUGUAGCAUGUCGACAUGUCCAUGACCUCUGGAGCUAAGGGCCCUAUAGAUGACGUCUGAUUCUUUGAAGGCAUCUGCCUCAAUUAUGACUGCAUUCCCUGCUGCUCCUGCCCAGAAUGGCCUGUUCACAUUCAUUCACCAACAGUCAAGGAUUUCAGACUAAUCUAAUGGUUAGGACUAUGAAAUGGACGAUAAUAAUAUUGUUCAUACUCUUUCAGAAUGUCCUGAAGCACAGUGCUCUUCCCAGCUCCCAUCCCACCACCCAUGAGGAGGAGGACUGGA